AGCUGCGGCUAGCGCUUACCGCCUUUUCAACCAGUGUUCGUAGCACUGAAACCGGAGAUGAACGCGACGAACAAGUAUAUACAGCGCAUGGUGUAGACGGAUAUGUGUGAUAUCGCUUUUGCGGCGAUAGGCAACCAGGCGAACGAAAGUCUUUUGUCCUUUUUCGAACGCGGGCGCUACUUCUGGUGACAGUCGCAUGCGAACACGCAGCGGGACACACGGCGCCUGCGGAACUCGUUAGAAAAGCGUUUCGGAAAACAGCGUGCAUGCAGCUCGAAACCAGUUCGAGAAGAGCGUCGUGAGGUAAGCGGAGGCCCUGAGAGCGGUGCUGGACCUGACACCCGGUAGCAAGGCGCGAUGCGUGGUAUGGGACUGCCACAGGAAGUUCGUUUGGGCCACGGGGGAGCACCUUCAAGCAGCAGUCGCAGCGCCGAAACAAGUCUGUGUUUCCCGGCCAGAGAGCCCUGUUCUAACGGGCAUAUCAUGUGUGGCGACCCGGAGGCGUGCUGCACGGCGGUAUCCGCUAGUCUCGUGAGCAAAGUCACCAGGCGAGAGGUGCAUCCGGGUUCGUCUGAAUAAGACAUACCAGAAUAACGCCGACUUGUAUCCGCUAGUAUCGUGAGCAAAGUCACCAGGCGAGAGGUGCAUCCGGGUUCGUCUGAAUAAGACAUACCAGAAUAACGCCGACUUGUAUCCGCUAGUAUCGUGAGCAAAGUCACCAGGCGAGAGGUGCAUCCGGGUUCGUCUGAAUAAGACAUACCAGAAUAACGCCGACUUGUAUCCGCUAGUAUCGUGAGCAAAGUCACCAGGCGAGAGGUGCAUCCGGGUUCGUCUGAAUAAGACAUACCAGAAUAACGCCGACUUGUAUCCGCUAGUAUCGUGAGCAAAGUCACCAGGCGAGAGGUGCAUCCGGGUUCGUCUGAAUAAGACAUGCCAGAAUAACGCCGACUUGUAUCCGCUAGUAUCGUAAGCAAAGUCACCAGGCGAGAGGUGCAUCCGGGUUCGUCUGAAUAAGACAUACCAGAAUAACGCCGACUUGUAUCCGCUAGUAUCGUGAGCAAAGACACCAGGCGAGAGGUGCAUCCGGGUUCGUCUGAAUAAGACAUACCAGAAUAACGCCGACUUGUAUCCGCUAGUAUCGUAAGCAAAGUCACCAGGCGAGAGGUGCAUCCGGGUUCGUCUGAAUAAGACAUGCCAGAAUAACGCCGACUUGGAUGUACUCGAGGAUAUGCUGCCGACGUGCUGCGUGAUGCAACGCAAAACUGGACGGACUCUGAUAUGUCUUCGCUCUCGUUCGGGAUCCGGAGCAUUCGCCUGCGUUGAGAUGGCGCCCUGGUGCCGGGUACGCGCCAGCACUCGUGCAUCUGGGAACAUGUCGUUCGAUUCAUCGAACUGAUGCUGUACAGAAUGCGGUCUCCAGCGCCGCAAUGUCCCGACGCAUGAACGCUGGCGCACGGCAGCAUUCAGGUAUAACGCGACACAAGCAACGGUAAAACGCGAGUAUUGCCCAGGAGACGUUUUGUCGCAGAUCCACGCUGUCGAGGAUCUACUGUUUCCAGGUCGAUCAAAGGCUCCGGUUGUGCGCAUCAGAAACCAGAAUGAAAACGAGCGCUCUUUCCAAAACAUCGAUCGCGUAGAAUCGAUGAGCACGCUGAAUGAUUGUCAUGGACAAGUGCAAGCACCGUAUUAUGCUGCUUGACCCGAUGCCGGUAUGCAGGCACCGCAGAGCGAUCCUAUCCCCAGAUGAGCAUGCAGAGAGUUGGCGAAUGCUGCGUUGUUGCGAGCGCCUAUGCAAGCUCGGCAUCUGGCGGCUCACUCGAUCCCUCUAGAGCGUAUCUCUGACGGAUAGACCGUCCCAGCGUCAGUGAAAUGGACAAGGGCCUGGAGGGAUACAGCGGUCGUUUCCCGAACUGCCGACAGCAACUGCGGUUUCAGAGGGAUUCUUAGAGUCAGGAUCAUCGAUCGUGCACCGGAAAACAAAACGUAUCUCGCGGCGGUGUACGUCGCAGGGUCAGGAUCGAUUGGUGCGCCCGUCGCGGAACCGCAUUUGUUUCCUCGUUUACCCAUUUGUCAGAUGAAAAGGGAACUCGGAAGUGUUCGCUCUGCUCCUGCUGUUUGAUUUUCUUCCAAAUUUUUUACAUAGACAGCCUCCAUGUUCGUGGUGCAGCAAUAGGGGCGUGCAGAUCCAUAUGUUGUUUUAGGAUUUAUGAUCUUGUUCUCUGCGUGACCCGUUCAACGCUUCUUCUGCUGGAAUUCGUUAUGACAUCAGCAUGAAUAGGAUUCGCGGCGCUGUCGCACACA